rnacentral:rRNA from 1 species
CCUACGGGAGGCAGCAGUAGGGAAUCUUCCACAAUGGGCGAAAGCCUGAUGGAGCAACGCCGCGUGGGUGAAGAAGGUCUUCGGAUCGUAAAACCCUGUUGUUAGAGAAGAAAGUGCGUGAGAGUAACUGUUCACGUUUCGACGGUAUCUAACCAGAAAGCCACGGCUAACUACGUGCCAGCAGCUGCGGGAAUACGUAGGUGGCAAGCGUUAUCCGGAUUUAUUGGGCGUAAAGGGAACGCAGGCGGUCUUUUAAGUCUGAUGUGAAAGCCUUCGGCUUAACCGGAGUAGUGCAUUGGAUACUGGGAGACUUGAGUACAGAAGAGGAGGGUGGAACUCCAGGUGUAGCGGUGAAAUGCGUAGAUAUAUGGAAGAACACCAGUGGCGAAAGCAGCUCUCUAGUCUGUAACUGACGCUGAGGUUCGAAAGCGUGGGUAGCAAACAGGAUUAGAUACCCUGGUAGUC